AAAAAAAUUUCAUUUUGAGAAAACAUGAAUAACAAGAAGAGAAUGCGACAGCACAGCUCUUGUUGAAGUUAUUGCAGAUAUGACAUGGGCACCGCGUGAUAUUAUAAGACAACAAUCUCUAGGUCAAAGCCACAGAUUUACUUACGCUAGUUAAACAAAAAUCUUUCCAUAUAUUUAUAUUAUUAUAUACUCUGCUUCUGGCCCUACGGUAAUCCGAAGAAGAUGUUUUCCUACCGCUGAUCUUACAACCCUUAUCCCAAUAAUCUUGUGUUGUGUAUCUCUGCUCUGCCGCGCUUAUCUUCUAAACCUCCCUAUGUCCCUUGUUUCUUUCCUUUUUCAUAUUUCUCUAUUAUAAUGCCUUUUUGUUGUUAGGGUUGUUUUCUUUUCUCUCAUCUCUUUCAAACCCUCGAAGAAGAAUCUCUGUGCUCCACGCACUUCGAUUCAAUUAAGGGGUUUCUGGGCUUUUCUUCCUAUUUGUGCAUUCCUUUCCUUUGGUUUGUUAAUUAUAAUUAAUAACAUGGGCUUUACUUCGGUUUUAUGGGAGAUCUUCAACAAACCCACCAUGGCCGAUGUUUUGAGAGAGAUGAUGAUGUUUAUAGCGCCUUUGUGGAUUUCUGUGAUUCUUGGGGUUUUGGUCGGUUGGGCGUGGAAGCCUAAAUGGGUCAAUUUCGAUUGUAGGGAUUUGGUGGAUGCUUCACUUUCCAAGGUUUCGAAUUCAUCUUCCAUUGGUUUGGCUUCCAUUCCCAGCCUCAACUUUUUGAAGUUUCAGUUGCCCACUUGCAUAUUCGGAGUUUCUGAUGAUGACGCUUUCAUUGACCAGGCUACAAUCAAUUCUGAUUACAGUUCGUUGCAGAGGCAGAACACAGUGGUAGUGACAGAGGAUGAUUUAGAGCAUUUAUGUAGGCUUGUUGAAGUGAAAGAUGGAGGUCCUUCUUGGAUACACAUGAUGGAUCGUUCUACGCAGACUAUGCGAUAUCAAGCUUGGCAGAGAGAUCCUGAGACUGGCCCUCCACAAUAUCGAAGCAGUACCAUCUUUGAGGAUGCCACUCCUGAGAUGGUGAGGGAUUUCUUUUGGGAUGAUGAUUUUCGGUUAAAGUGGGAUGACAUGCUUAUAUAUGCCUCUACUUUGGAGGACUGCCCCACCACUGGAACGAUGGUAGUUCAAUGGGUGCGCAAGUUUCCCUUCUUUUGUAGUGACAGAGAAUAUGUUAUAGGACGUCGCAUUUGGGAGUCUGGACGAGCUUACUACUGUGUGACCAAGGGAGUACCCUUCCCCUCUGUGCCAAGGCGUAACAAACCCAAACGUGUGGAUUUGUUCUAUUCAAGUUGGUGCAUUCGCCCAGUUGAAUCAAGGAGAGGGGAUAGCCAGCUGUCUGCUUGUGAGGUCUUACUAUUCCAUCAUGAAGACAUGGGUAUUCCCUGGGAAAUUGCGAAGCUUGGCAUCCGACAGGGUAUGUGGGGAGCCGUCAAGAAGAUUGACCCUGGCUUGCGUGCAUAUCUGAAGGAAAGAGCAUCUGCAGCCUCACUCUCACAUUGUGCAUUCAUGGCCCAGAUCAACACCAAAGUCAGUGCAGACUACCUAAGAUCCUUAGACAGUUUCUCUAAUGAUUCAUCAGAGAAUGAAAUGUUAGAUUCAUCUAAUGAGCCUGUAGGAGGGAACAUGCCUAAGCUUUUAGUUGUUGCUGGAGCAAUUACCCUUGCUUAUAGUCUUGAUCAAGGACUCUUUACCAAGGCAGUAAUAUUUGGAAUAGCCAGACGGUUUGCAAACAUUGGAAGGAGGUUGUGAAUUACAGAGCUUUUUGCAUAUUAUAGAGAUGCCAGCCAAUUUGCUGCCACAGUGAGGUUGACAGGUUGCAAAGUCAAAUCAUUGGCAUAGUGGAUGUUUCUGCUAAAGAUGUUCAUCUUGUUCUGGCCUACCUUGCUUAGCGCACGACCAACCAAGAAGAAGAAGAAAAAACUAACAAAAAAAUUACUAGGUAGUAGUGCAAAAAAAAAAGCAUACAAUCAAAGAACAGAAGGCAGGGAUAUGUUACCGGAUAAUAUUGAAGACUUGUUUCAAAGAAAAUUUUUAGUACAGCACAAAGUAUCCAGGGUCCAGGGAAUGCAACAAAACGAAAAUUAUAGUAAGCAGGAAGCAAUGACUACUAUAAGAUGAAAGGACUUCUGCCAUUACAUGUAAACUAGACAUGGGCGGUUCCUUGUGUGAAUUUGGGAUUCUCACAUUGUAUUUUCCAUCAGGGCUAAUACCAAAGCCUUUUGGGUCAGCAAAAACAUUUUCCAAUAGCUGACUUCGAGGUGGGAGUGGGCUUGCAUCUGCAAAUUCCACAGAAUCCUCAACCAACUCAUCGAUCUUCUUCUCUAUGGCUUUUAACUCAGUUUCAGUGGCCAGAUUGCUCUCAAUCAUGUACUUCUUUAAAGCUGUGAGGGGAUGUCUAGCAGCGUAGUGAGCCUUCUCAGCUGAAAAAUAAAAACAGUAAUACAACAGCUUUAUGUAUAUUCAGCUAAAAAACACAUGUAAAAGGAUGAUAUGCCUCUAGCGCAGAGAAAUUUUACAACUUUGAAUAUGUGUAAGAAAUAACGAAUUUAAACU